GGGAAUAUUGGACAAUGGGCUAAAGCCUGAUCCAGCAAUUCCGCGUGAACGAUGAAGGUCUUCGGAUUGUAAAGUUCUUUCGGCAGGGAAGAAAAAAAUGACGGUACCUGCAUAAGAAGCACCGGCUAAUUACGUGCCAGCAGCCGCGGUAAGACGUAAGGUGCAAGCGUUAUCCGGAAUCACUGGGCGUAAAGGGCAUCUAGGCGGCUAAACAAGUCAGGGGUGAAAAGUCAGGGCUCAACCUUGGCCUUGCCUUUGAAACUGUAUAGCUAGAGUAUGGGAGAGGAAGGCGGAACUACAAGUGUAGAGGUGAAAUUCGUAGAUAUUUGUAGGAAUGCCGAUGACGAAGGUAGCUUUCUAGACCAAUACUGACGCUGAAGUGCGAAAGCUAGGGGAGCAAAC
rnacentral:rRNA from 1 species